CGCUGGCGGCGUGCCUAAUACAUGCAAGUCGAACGGUCUUUCUAUGGAAGCUUGCUUCCACUGAGAAGAUAGUGGCGAACGGGUGAGUAACACGUGGGUAACCUGCCCAUAAGAGGGGGGAUAACAUCCGGAAACGGGUGCUAAUACCGCAUAGUUUUCUUGAUCGCAUGAUCGGGAAAGGAAAGACGGCCUUUGUGCUGUCGCUUAUGGAUGGACCCGCGGCGUAUUAGUUAGUUGGUGAGGUAACGGCUCACCAAGACGAUGAUACGUAGCCGACCUGAGAGGGUGAUCGGCCACAUUGGGACUGAGACACGGCCCAAACUCCUACGGGAGGCAGCAGUAGGGAAUCUUCCGCAAUGGACGAAAGUCUGACGGAGCAACGCCGCGUGAGUGAAGAAAGGUUUUCGGAUCGUAAAACUCUGUUGUCAGAGAAGAACAAGUUGGAGAGUAACUGCUCCAGCCUUGACGGUAUCUGACCAGAAAGCCACGGCUAACUACGUGCCAGCCGCUGC
rnacentral:rRNA from 1 species